UGAUGCACCUCCUUCUGUGAAGCGUCUAAAGGUGCACUCAAAUUUCUACUUCAUUCAUUUUUUUUUGUUUUUUUUUUUAAGUGUUUGGUUAGUAAAUUAAUAUUUUUGUUAGGUGAUAUACCUCCUUUUCUAAAACGUCCAAGGAUUCACUCAAAAUUCUUCUUAUCUUCCUUUUUUGGGGGGUUUUUUGCUAAGCAUUCGAUGAGUAAAUUGAUUCAUUUUUGGUUCUUUUUGAUUGGUGUGAAUUGUAUUUUUAGGGAGAUGACAAUGUGGAUACUUCGGAAAAAAAAUCGAUGCUGCCAUCUGAGAAUUCAAAGGACACAGUUGACGAAAAGGCUGAGGCCACGGCUGACGGAAAAAUCGAGGCUGCAAUUGAUGAAAAAGUUGAUGCUGCGGCUGACGGAAAAGGUGACACUGCAGUAGACGGUGGAGUUUUCACAGCUGCCCCAGUAG
rnacentral:lncRNA from 1 species